rnacentral:rRNA from 1 species
AUUGAACGCUGGCGGCAGGCCUAACACAUGCAAGUCGAACGGUAACAGGAAGCAGCUUGCUGCUUUGCUGACGAGUGGCGGACGGGUGAGUAAUGUCUGGGAAACUGCCUGAUGGAGGGGGAUAACUACUGGAAACGGUAGCUAAUACCGCAUAAUGUCGCAAGACCAAAGAGGGGGACCUUCGGGCCUCUUGCCAUCGGAUGUGCCCAGAUGGGAUUAGCUAGUAGGUGGGGUAAAGGCUCACCUAGGCGACGAUCCCUAGCUGGUCUGAGAGGAUGACCAGCCACACUGGAACUGAGACACGGUCCAGACUCCUACGGGAGGCAGCAGUGGGGAAUAUUGCACAAUGGGCGCAAGCCUGAUGCAGCCAUGCCGCGUGUAUGAAGAAGGCCUUCGGGUUAUAAAGUACUUUCAGCGGGGAGGAAGGGAGUAAAGUUAAUACCUUUGCUCAUUGACGUUACCCGCAGAAGAAGCACCGGCUAACUCCGUG